UCCGGUUUAUCACCGGCAGUCUCCCUUAAGUCCCCAGCUCUACCUGAUGGUAAUAAAGAAUAAGGGUUGCGCUCGUUACGGGACUUAACCCAACAUUUCACAACACGAGCUGACGACAGCCAUGCAGCACCUGUCUCUUGGUUCCUUUCGGCACAGCAUCAUCUCUGACGCCUCCCAAGGAUGUCAAGGGUAGGUAAGGUUCUUCGAGUUGCAUCGAAUUAAACCACAUGCUCCACCGCUUGUGCGGGCCCCCGUCAAUUCCUUUGAGUUUUAACCUUGCGGCCGUACUCCCCAGGCGGAGAACUUAACGCGUUAGCUUCGCUACGGCACACAGCACUUGCGCACUAUGCCUCACAGCCAGUUCUCAUCGUUUACCGCGUGGACUAC
rnacentral:misc_RNA from 1 species